UUAUUGGUGGCAGCAGCGAGCUCAGCUAGAGUAAAUUUUUGCUGUCUCCUUACAAGUGAGGUUAGCUUUCUUUGUGGAGGAUUUCCUGAGAAUCUAGUACAUAAUAGACCAAAGGCAAAAGCUAUAGGCCAAAAAUUUAAGUUGAUAGGAUUAUCAGCACCUCGAGACAAAAAGCUAUAAGCAACUGAUGUAAAAACACAUUGAAAGAUUGCACAAGCUAAUCCAAUAAUAUCCAUUCCAG
rnacentral:misc_RNA from 1 species